rnacentral:lncRNA from 1 species
GAAAAGACACAAUGCAGAAAGCUUUCAACCAAGCCAUACAUUUACACAUAUUUGAGAUGUAGAUUUGAAUGAUUAUAACAUUGGGUUUGGAACAUGCAUCAGAUUGGUCUAAAAGGCAUAAAGGAGAUGAAAGAAUAAUAGAUCAUCAAGUUCUAUAAGGCCCCGUUUGGGUCCCUUCAUUUUGAAGGAAUUGGAAUCUAUUUAAUGGAGUAGGCUAAUUUAUGUUGGAAUGUGGCAUUCCACAACUUUCCAAAGUUUAGAUAUAAGACUAUCUUAAAUUCAUGGGAUGGGAGAUGGAAAUUGAUUCUAUAGAUUAUGGUUAUUAGAAUGGAAUUCAAUUCUUAUAGCACGCUCUUAGACUCGCUUCUCUAUAGUAGAAGUGCAGCAUAUAAGUAUCUCUCCCAUAUCCCCAACUAUAAUAUACAACUAUAUUCCACAUACAAUUAUAUUAGCUAAAUUAAUUUGUAUCUAAAUUAUAAUUAUUAGGAUGGAAUUCAAUUCCAAUGAUCCAAACGGGGCCUAAGUAUCAAGAUAGAACAAGACCAAGAUUAGGCUAGGCUAUCUUGGAGCAUAUGAGAUUGCAACCUUUGAAGUUCACAUAAUCAUUUUCUGAGAACAGUUAGCACAAGAAAAAUAUAAAUGCAUGCAUCACCAUCUAAUUUUGCUAACUCUUAGCCUAACUUAAGGUACAUAUGUCAUGGCAAAAACAAACAGUCAGAUGCAAAGUUCAUAAAUACAUUGCUUCCAACUCCUAGCCACAGACACCACGAUUCAUACUUUUAUGCUGCUAAGUAGUAAAAUUUUGCAGAUAUAGGUACACAAAC